GAUUGAACUGAAGAGUUUGAUCCUGGCUCAGAUUGAACGCUGGCGGCAUGCUUUACACAUGCAAGUCGAACGCGAAAGGGGGGCAACCCCCGAGUAGAGUGGCGAACGGGUGAGUAAUACAUCGGAACAUAUCCUGUAGCGGGGGAUAACCUCGAGAAAUCGAGGCUAAUACCGCAUACGUCCUACGGGAGAAAGCGGGGGAUCGCAAGACCUCGCACUAUAGGAGUGGCCGAUGUCGGAUUAGCUAGUUGGCGGGGUAAAAGCCCACCAAGGCUACGAUCCGUAGCUGGUCUGAGAGGAUGAUCAGCCACACUGGGACUGAGACACGGCCCAGACUCCUACGGGAGGCAGCAG
rnacentral:rRNA from 1 species